CCUACGGGUGGCAGCAGUGAGGAAUAUUGGUCAAUGGUCGUGAGCCUGAACCAGCCAAGUAGCGUGAAGGAUGACUGCCCUAUGGGUUGUAAACUUCUUUUAUACGGGAAUAAAGUGCGUCACGUGUGCUGUUUUGUAUGUACCUUAUGAAUAAGGAUCGGCUAAUUCCGUGCCAGCAGCCGCGGUAAUACGGAGGGUCCGGGCGUUAUCCGGAUUUAUUGGGUUUAAAGGGAGCGUAGAUGGGUUGUUAAGUCAGUUGUGAAAGUUUGCGGCUCAACCGUAAAAUUGCAGUUGAGACUGGCAGCCUUGAGUACAGUGGAGGUAGGCGGAAUUCGUGGUGUAGCGGUGAAAUGCUUAGAUAUCACGAAGAACUCCGAUUGCGAAGGCAGCUUACGAAACUGCCACUGACACUGAGGCUCGAAAGUGUGGGUAUCAAACAGGAUUAGAUACCCGAGUAGUC
rnacentral:rRNA from 1 species